UCAUCUAUGAAUACAGAAACUCAAGAAAUGCAUCGGUGAGAAAUUUUCAGAACUUCACGAAGAUCCAGAACCUACACUCACUAAACUGAUUAAGAACUGUUUCUGAAGAUCUUCAACGGAUCACUUAACAGCUGACGAGGACCGGCAUCUACAUAUUACCUAUAAUCUAAUAAUCUGAAUCUGUCGUGUUUACCUUCUUUUUGGGAUAUGUUUAACUCUCAAAUACCUUUAUCUGGAAAAUAAAAUUUUCAUAAAGCAAC